rnacentral:lncRNA from 1 species
CUAUAUAGUCUGAGAAUAGCCAACAAAUACACUAAGAAGAAGAUAAGGAAGGAGAAGGCGGGACUGCGAUCGCCAAGCAACUACGUUGCUAUAUCUAAGGAAAAAUUCCACCACUGAAAUGAUCAGCAACUGCUACCGUGGCCCGAGAUACCUGGAUCUGCACACAAGGCGCAGGGGGUAACGUGAGCACACCAACUCAGUAAGUAACAAGUCCAAGCUAUGGACUGACAGGUAGUGACAAACCAAACCUCAACAGGAAAUAUCAUUAAACUGUACAGAAAAGUAGACAUGCUUGCAGUUCAAGUAAAAACUCAACAGUAAAUAAAUGCAGCCUAAACGGUACGGAGUAUAAGGCUCAGGAAAUCUCUAUGUACUAAUGCACAGAUAGCAUGAUCAAUGUUUCAUGUACCUCCACUCACAAGUGCUCAACCACUCGGUACUGUAUAUGGCCGUCUGUCCAGGGAAGAUCCAUCUCGGAAUAUAUAUAUCACUGAUCGCAGUCAUCUAGUAUCGAGGAAGGCUAUUCUAGCCUUGUGGAGAAGAUCCAUCUCCAGGUUUAAAUACUUCGGACAAGAUCCAUGUCUAGGGAAGAUCCAUCCCUCAAUAUGAUCAACUGCGCUCACUGGGGUGUGUUACAGACUCCGGAGGGGCUCCUACAACCCAAGCGCUAUCAUAAUCAUCAACAUAACCACUGCGGCGUGCAGCCCGAUCCCAUAUACUAUCACUCACAACCAGGCUCUCGACCUCACUCAGUCAUCACUCUCCAGUCUCACACACACGGGUUCACAAUGUCAUGAUACUAGCCCGAACAAUGAUAUGAUGUGCCAAAUAACAAUAAUCAAUACUGAGACAUGAUAUAUAAUGCAUGAACAUGACAAAGUAUAGAAUAUCAAUGAAGAUAAUGAUAUGACAACACGAAACGACCUCUCGUGUCUCAACAGUAUCGGUGUGAAGCCCUAACAGGAUAUCUAGCAUGGUUUCACAACACAUUUACUUAGUCACACGAUAGAAACACGGAUAUCAACAAGAAAGAGUUACUAAGUGGUGCCACGGAAUGAUCCAGGCCGCAAUUCUCACGGUGCACGCCCACACGCCCGUCACUUGGCAUUUGCGUCACUUCAAUAGCAAUCAUAGAAUACAUAGUUCGGGGUUUCGAAUCCUCAGAACCAAGUUUGGAAGCGUUACUUACCUCAAGCCAAGCCAAACUCUAACCCGCGACGCCCUUGCCUCUCGAUUUGGCCUCCAAAUGCUUCGAAUCUAACCAAAAUCAGUAUAUCAUCAUCAAUAUACGCUAAAGGAAUGAAACCCAUACGAAAAUUAUCAAUUUAACUCAAAAUCCCGAAAUUGGCCUAACCCUACCCCCGGGCCCACGUCUCGGAAUACAAUAAAAAUCACAAAACUGGAAAACCCAUUAGCUCACAAGCCUACUUAUAUCAAAUUCAUCAAAAUACGACGUCAAAAGGUCAUCCAAAUCCCAAAAAUCCAUUCUCCAAUUUUUCUUCCAUUUUCCCCAAUUUUACCCCAAAUUCUCAAAUUAAAUGAUAAGAUUCAAGGCAUAAUUAUGGAAUUUAGCCCAAAACAAGUGAAGAACACUUACCUCAAUCACUUCUCUGAAAAUCCUAUCUAAAUUCACCUUUCUCCCGGGCUCUCUAAUGAGUUUUUGAAAAUAUGAACUAAACCCUCAUUUCUGAACUUAAAGAUUCUGCCCAAACGCUUCCAUCUUCGCGAACGCGAUCAAAGCCUCGCGUUCGUGAAGCACAAAAAUCACUGCCCAAUUAUUCCUCUUUCGCGAACGCGACUUCCUUCAAGAGAACGCAAAGCUUCAGCUGCCCAAGCCUUCGCAAAUGCGACCCUACCUACGCGAACGCAAUGCACAAACUCUUGGGGUCCCAGCUGCUCCAAUUUACCCUACACGAAUGCGACUCCUCUCACGCGUUCGUCAUUCACUGGAAUCCAAACCUAUGUGAAUGCGUCCUUUGACUCGCGAACGCGAAGAGAAUUUUAUCCCCUAGACCCAGCUCUUCUUCGCGAACGCGGGACAAUCUUCGCGAAUGCGAAGAACAAAUUCUUAUGCAACAAAAACCAGCAAAAUCUGCAACUCUCCAAAACCAACAAUUGGUCCGUUAACCACCCGAAACUCACAUGAGGCCCUUGGGACCUCAACCAAGGAUGUCAACACAUCCCAUAACAUCAUUCAAACUUGUUCCAACCUUCGAAACACUCAAAACAAUGUCAAAACAUCAUAUCACCCUCGGAUUCAAGCUUAAGAAUUCCAAAUCUUUCGAAUCCCGCAACCGAUAAAAGUCUACCAACCUCAUCCGAAUGACCUAAAAUUUUGCACACACGUCCCAAAUGACACAACAGACCUACUCCAAUUUUUGGAAUUCCAUUCUGAACCCUAUAUCAAAAUUUCCACUGCCGACCGAAAAAAUGCCAAAUUUUCAAUUUCGCUAAUUCAAGCCUAAAUCUUCCACAGACCUCCAAAACACAUUCCGAUCACGCUCCUAAGUCCCAAAUCACCUAACGAAGCUAUAUGAACCAUCAGAAUUCACAUCCGAGACCUUCUACCCAUAAGUCAACAUCCGGUUGGCUUUUCCAACUUAAGCUUACUCAAAAGAGACUAAGUGUCUCAUUCCUCUACAAAACCACUCCGAACUCGAACCAACUAACCCGAUACCACAUAAUACAGCUAAACAAGACAUAAAGAAGCAGAAAUGGGGGAAACAGAGUGGUAGCUCAUGAAAUGACCGGUUAGGUCGUUACAGAAUCAAACUCGCGUAGUUCGUCCAGCUUUGACGGACCAGAGGAAAAUAUGAAUUUUUGAAAACAUCGGCUUAUUUUCUUUCUCUUUUUUUUUUUCAAAAUUUUGGCGGAGUUUCGGAAAUUUUCAAAUAUCUACCUCUCACUCUUGGUUUUUUGAUUUCCCUUUUUUUCUUUUUCUUUUUAUUUGAUUUCUUUCCCUAUUCUAGAAGCCAGUCAACAUACAAGGCCAAAAAAAAAAUACGCUAGUAGCACGUAAUAUGCAUCAGGAUGGUCUUUUCAAUUUGGGUACACAUGUCCUAGACGGACCCAACCACUAUGUUGAGUACCCAAAGUCAAAUGCACGUGAUGCAAACAAGCGUUCCUACUAGGGAUCUGGUAUGAGGCCAUGUUACUCUAGGUUUAAAACCUAGGUGUAUUGUUCUAGACCUGGCUUAUACGAGCGAACAACUCGAGCCAGGGGGGCAGCGUACCGGUACCCAAACGAUCAUCCACCUUUGAAACUUGUCUAAUCCUCUUCUAAGUUAGGGAUAUGAUUCUAACAGAAAAAAAAGUCACGCCAGGGUGCAUUUCCCAGAAGAUUUAGAAGACUCAGAGAGAAGAAGGGUUUCAUAACAGUUUAUAUACAGUUCACACAAUAUCAAAGUGAAAAGCGACAUUUAGCACAUUAGGCUCAAACACAUAAAAAAUCAGAUAAUGAACAAAAUCCAACUAUAACAAUUAUUCUAAGCUUUAAUUUUGAACCAUGAAUCAGAUGUUCUGGGUAAUAUCCUAAAUAGAGUCGUCAGAGCUAUCACGCAACCUUUUUCCUGAGGGGAUAGGGAGUUUUUCCAAUUUAAAUGACACUAAUCAAAAUGGAAUUAUUUAUUUAUUCAGAAUCGCCACUUGGGAUGAUUAUAUGGUGUUCCAAGUCACCAGUUUAUUUUAAAUUCCAAAUCGAGGAAGUUUUAACUCUAAUUUACUGCCCCCGAAACACAGAAAUCCGGACAAGAAAUUCUGUUAACCCGAGCGAAGGUGUUAGGCAUUCCCAGGUUCCGUGGUUUUAGCACGGUCGCUCAACUAUUAAUAAUUGGCCUAAUUACCUGAUUCAUUACGUAUUUAAAUCCUAUUAUGCAUUUUAACAUUUUAACCGCUUUUAAUUAUUUAUGAGAUUUGUUUGAAAAAAUCGCGAUGUCGUGUACUCGUUUGCUUUGUACAUAUUGCGAAUCGUGUCAAGGAAACCGUAUCCACGAUCCACAACAUGUUUAAUUUUAUUAUUGUUCAAAGUUAUAAGACAGUCACAUAAAAUGCACACCCGAAUUAGGAUUACAUAUCGUGACCAUGCCACGGGAAUCGUACCCAUAAUCACGAUGAUUUUAUUGAUCGCGCCUAAAGCAAGCUACGAUGAUUCAUAAGAUUAUUUCCUGAACUAGUGUUGUUGUUAUUGGGCUUACAGUGGAUCAGUUGGCCCAUAAAUAUCAGAAACUAAGUUUUAAUUGUUCAAUUAAGAGAAACAUCCAGAUAAGAACAAACUAAAUAGAAGGAAGCAAAAUGCCAAAAUCAACAAGAAAUAAAAUCUCACCAAUAUCAUAUGAAUCAAGUUCAACACAUACACCAUUUUUACUGUCUUUAAUGGUUUAAAGCUCAAAUUCCUAAAUUAUUUUUUACCAUGUUAAACCACGAUACAUAAAUAUUAUUAGAAGCAGCAAUUAGAAAAGCUAAUAAUGAAACCAUAGGAAAAUUUCAUCCAAAUACAUAAUACUUCAAAGCCAUUCAUUAACUAGAAAUAAGGUAAGUUAAAACUGGACCUCUCACUGUAGCAAAUUUCUUUGAGAAUUGAAUAAUGGAUCACCCUGAAGCAAACAGCGGUACAACAAAUGCUCUGUUCCAAAUGAACGUGCAACAGUAAGCUCCGAUAAAAUUUGUCUCAAAAUUGAACCGUGACCGGAGCUAGAACAGAAAACUUGUCGCCGACGAGCUCGAGUACAGAGCUUCACGGGAUUAAUGGAGGAUUUUGGAGCAGUUUUCUCCGCGAAAUUGGCAGCAAUUUGAGCUGUUGUUUGUGAACAUUUUGGGACUAUUUUGUCAGUGUUUUGGGGAGCUGCUUUCAGUGUUUCUGGGUGAUGACAAUGGCUGUGUUUAUUGUACGUAUUUGGGAAAAUUUAGAGCUAUUUUGAGGUGUAAACAUGAGAAGGAGAAGAAAACUAGUUGUUCUCCAAAAGAACAAAGAAGAAGGCGUUGAUGCCCAACUUUCUUUUUAGAGCUCUAAGUUUCUUUUCAUUUUUUUGGCCCUGUUUCUUUUGCUGCUUUUGCAUCCCUUUUCUACUUUUCAGAUCGGUUUUUUGCCCCUUUUUUGUGUUCUGUGUGUUUUUCUUUUUCUUUUGUCAUAUGGGGUUGUAAUUUUUGAAGAAGAAGAAGAAGGAGUUCCUAUGGUGGGGUGCAGCUGACCUCUCCUCAAUGAGAGAAUGAGA